rnacentral:rRNA from 1 species
AACGAACGCUGGCGGCAUGCCUAACAUAUGCAAGUCGAACGAGACCUUCGGGUCUGGUGGCGCACGGGUGCGUAACGCGUGGGAACCUGCCCUUAGGUUCGGAAUAACUCCCCGAAAGGGGUGCUAAUACCGGAUAAUGUCUUCGGACCAAAGAUUUAUCGCCUUUGGAUGGGCCCGCGUUGGCUUAGCUAGUUGGUAGGGUAAGAGCCUACCAAGGCGACGAUCCAUAGCUGGUCUGAGAGGAUGAACAGCCACACUGGGAAUGAGACACGGCCCAGACUCCUACGGGAGGCAGGAGAGGGGAAUAUUGGACAAUGGGCGAAAGCCUGAUCCAGCAAUGCCGCGUGAGUGAUGAAGGCGUUAGGGUUGUAAAGCUCUUUUACCCGGGAUGAUAAUGACAGUACCGGGAGAAUAAGCUCCGGCUAACUCCGUG